rnacentral:rRNA from 1 species
GUGAACGUUGGCGGCGCGUCUAAUACAUGCAAGUCGAGUGGGUUUAGGCCCACGGCGGACGGCUGAGUAACACGUUGGUAGCUGCCCCCCAUUCAGGGAUAACCUUCCGAAAGGAAGAUUAAUACCGGAUAGUCCCGCAAGGGUAAAGAUUUAUCGAUGGGGGAGGCGCCUGCGUCCUAUCAGCUAGUUGGUGAGGUAAUGGCUCACCAAGGCUAUGACGGGUAGGUGGUCUGAGAGGAUGACCACCCAGAGGGAAACUGAGACACGGUUCCCACUCCUACGGGAGGCAGCAGUAAAGAAUCUUCCGCAAUGGACGAAAGUCUGACGGAGCGACGCCGCGUGCAGGAUGAAGGCCUUCGGGUUGUAAACUGCUUUUCUGAAAGAAUAAUUCUGAAUGUACUUCAGGAAUAAGUACCGGCAAAUCUCGU